rnacentral:rRNA from 1 species
AUUGAACGCUGGCGGCAGGCCUAACACAUGCAAGUCGAACGGUAGCACAGAGAGCUUGCUCUCGGGUGACGAGUGGCGGACGGGUGAGUAACGUCUGGGAAACUGCCUGAUGGAGGGGGAUAACUACUGGAAACGGUAGCUAAUACCGCAUAACGUCGCAAGACCAAAGAGGGGGACCUUCGGGCCUCCUGCCAUCAGAUGUGCCCAGAUGGGAUUAGCUAGUAGGUGGGGUAACGGCUCACCUAGGCGACGAUCCCUAGCUGGUCUGAGAGGAUGACCAGCCACACUGGAACUGAGACACGGUCCAGGCUCCUACGGGAGGCAGCAGUGGGGAAUAUUGCACAAUGGGCGCAAGCCUGAUGCAGCCAUGCCGCGUGUAUGAAGAAGGCCUUCGGGUUGUAAAGUACUUUCAGCGGGGAGGAAGGGGAUAAGGUUAAUAACCUUAUUCAUUGACGUUACCCGCAGAAGAAGCACCGGCUAACUCCGUGCCAGCAGCCGCCGUAACAC